rnacentral:rRNA from 1 species
CGGGUGGUAAUGCCGGAUGCUCCAUCACACCGCAUGGUGUGUUGGGAAAGCCUUUGCGGCAUGGGAUGGGGUCGCGUCCUAUCAGCUUGAUGGCGGGGUAACGGCCCACCAUGGCUUCGACGGGUAGCCGGCCUGAGAGGGCGACCGGCCACAUUGGGACUGAGAUACGGCCCAGACUCCUACGGGAGGCAGCAGUGGGGAAUAUUGCACAAUGGGCGCAAGCCUGAUGCAGCGACGCCGCGUGAGGGAUGGAGGCCUUCGGGUUGUAAACCUCUUUUGUUAGGGAGCAAGGCACUUUGUGUUGAGUGUACCUUUCGAAUAAGCACCGGCUAACUACGUGCCAGCAGCCGCGGUAAUACGUAGGGUGCAAGCGUUAUCCGGAAUUAUUGGGCGUAAAGGGCUCGUAGGCGGUUCGUCGCGUCCGGUGUGAAAGUCCAUCGCUUAACGGUGGAUCCGCGCCGGGUACGGGCGGGCUUGAGUGCGGUAGGGGAGACUGGAAUUCCCGGUGUAACGGUGGAAUGUGUAGAUAUCGGGAAAGAACA